rnacentral:rRNA from 1 species
CGUGGGUAACCUGCCCAAGAGAUCGGGAUAACACCUGGAAACAGAUGCUAAUACCGGAUAACAACAGAUGAUGCCUAUCAACUGUUUAAAAGAUGGUUCUGCUAUCACUCUUGGAUGGACCUGCGGUGCAUUAGCUAGUUGGUAGGGUAACGGCCUACCAAGGCGAUGAUGCAUAGCCGAGUUGAGAGACUGAUCGGCCACAUUGGGACUGAGACACGGCCCAAACUCCUACGGGAGGGCAGCAGGG